rnacentral:rRNA from 1 species
GUGGAUAACGGCUCACAUAACGUGUCGCGAUGGAUGACUUGG